GGAAGAGUGGGCUGGUGGUUAAUGCCCUAGGCUGGGACUCAAGAGAAGUGGGUUCAAUUCCCAGCUCUGCCA
rnacentral:tRNA from 1 species